AGGAAAUCCGUUCCCGACACACUGAGGUUCUCUUUUAAUGCCACCGACCAAUUCAGACAUGAGCCCAGGCCCACUCCGUGUCACAUAACAUGCUGACUCUCAAAGGUCAGAGGCGAAGGGAGCGCGCUGGCAUCAUGUUUGAUGAAUGUGCUGGACAGUUCAGGGGAUUUAUUUGGCGUUUACUCGUUUCACUCGCAUCCUGCUCUCACAGCUGGUCACACGGGUGGGAAGGCAAGUGCAAGACCAGCAUGUAAGUAAGAGCUGUUUCAGAGUCAUCUGAUCCAGGUGUGUCUCCCCUGGCUGAUGGUAAAUGAGCUGAUUCUGUUGUUUGAGAAGUGAGAGGUCUACGGUUUGAUGCCCAGGCCAACGUGAGAUCAAUAAACAGGAAGCAGUUGUGAUUGUUUGUCUUUGUUUGAAGGAUUUAUUCUGUUUAUUUCAGUUUUUUUUAUCUUUUCAGACAUUUUUAUUUCAUUUUCUUUUGGCUGCUCAGGUUUGUGAAGUUAAAGUGUAAUCAGCUGAGGCCUUCCCCUCUCAUCCAGGUGAACAGGAAGUGAGGCGGCCUGCUGCUGGGCUGCAUUCCUUCUCUUUGUCUCACCUGCUGAUUAUCAGCUGGAUCGCACAGGUGAGUCACACCUGCUGGACCUGAGUAUCAGCCAGGAAAACAGUUUUAUCUCACCUGUGACCUAUGAGCCAAUCAGACAGCAGAUCAUCAGACCUGCUCAUGACGUGCUGGAGGGGGAACAAUAGGAAUGACAGG
ensembl:lncRNA